rnacentral:rRNA from 1 species
GGUUUGAUUAUGGCUCAGAUUGAACGCUGGCGGGAUGCUUUACACAUGCAAGUCGAACGGCAGCACGGACUUCGGUCUGGUGGCGAGUAUGAACGGGUGAGUAAUGUAUCGGAACGUGCCUAGUAGCGGGGAUAACUACGCGAAAGCGUAGCUAAUACCGCAUACGCUCCUUCGGGGGAAAGCGGGGGACCUUCGGCCUCGCACUAUUAGAGCGGCCGAUAUCGGAUUAGCUAGCUGGUGGGUAACGCUCACCAAGGCGACGGAUCCGUAGCUGGUUUGAGAGGACGACCAGCCACACUGGGACUGGAGACACGGCCCAGACUCCUACGGAGGCAGCAGUGGGGAAUUUUGACAAUGGGGGAAACCCCGAUCCAGCCAUCCCGCGUGUGCGAUGAAGGCCUCGCCGUAAAGCACUUUUUGGCAGGAAAGAAACGGCACGGAUAAUACCCCGUGCAACUGACGGUACCUGCAGAAUAAGCACCGGCUAACCACGUGCCAGCAGCCGCGGUAAUACGUAGGGUGCAAGCGUUAAUCGGAAUUACUGGGCGUAAAGCGUGCGCAGGCGGUUCGGAAAGAAAGAUGUGAAAUCCCAGAGCUUAACUUUGGAACUGCAUUUUAAUCACCGAGCUAGAGUGUGUCAGAGGGAGGUGGAAUUCCGCGUGUAGCAGUGAAAUGCGUAGAUAUGUGAGGAACAACACCGAUGGCGAAGGCAGCCUCCUGGGAUACCACUGACGCUCAUGCACGAAAGCGUGGGGAGCAAACAGGAUUAGAUACCCUGGUAGUCCACGGCGCCUUCCUAAACGAUGUCAACUAGCUGUUGGGGCCUUCGGGUCCCGGUAGCGCAGCUAACGCGUGUGAAGACCGCCUCGGGGAGUACGGUCGCAAGAUUAAAACUCAAAGGAAUUGACGGGGACCCGCACAAGCGGUGGAUGAUGUGGAUUAAUUCGAUGCAACGCGAAAACCUUACCUACCUUGACAUGUCUAAAUCCCGAAGAGAUUUGGGAGUGCUCGCAAGAGAACCGGAACACAGGUGCUGCAUGGCUGUCGUCAGCUCGUGUCGUGAGAUGUUGGGUUAAGUCCUGCAACGAGCAACUUUCGGUCACACGACAGUUACACGAAAGGUACCCGGAACAGACUCGCCGGCGAUGAAACCGAUAAUGUGUGGACGCUGUCCAUGUCCGUGGCUUCACGCCCGCAUAAUAAUCGCACACGAGGGUCCAUCCCGUGAUGGGACAAUCCAGAAACCUGAUCAGCCCUGAUCGCAACAAACCAUCCUUAUGGAACGGAAUCGCUAGUAAUCGCGGAUCAACAUGUCGCGGUGAAUACGUUCCCGGGUCUUGUACACACCGCCCGUCACACCAUGGGAGUGGGUUUUACCAGAAGUAGUUAGCCUAACCGUAAGGAGGGCGAUUACCACGGUAGGAUUCAUGACUGGGGGUGAAGUCGUACUACA